CAGGUGAGAGCUGGGGAGGGGGGUCAGGUAUGACCUGGGCAGGUGAAGGGGGGCUCAGGUGAGGGGUUACAGGUGUGACCUGGGCAGGUGAAGCUCUCAGACCCACCUGAGCACACCUGGCCCAUCCCCCCCCCACCUGCGCCACUUGCCCGCAGGUGAGGAUGACAUCACAC